GGUUAAGUGACUAAGCGUACACGGUGGAUGCCUGGGCAGUCAGAGGCGAUGAAGGACGUACUAACUUGCGAUAAGCGCAGAUAAGGCAGUAAGAGCCGUUUGAGUCUGCGAUUUCCGAAUGGGGAAACCCAACUGCAUAAGCAGUUACUGUUAACUGAAUACAUAGGUUAACAGAGCAAACCGGGGGAACUGAAACAUCUAAGUACCCCGAGGAGAAGAAAUCAACCGAGAUUCCGGUAGUAGCGGCGAGCGAACCUGGAUUAGCCCUUAAGCACUCGGUGAAGUAGGUGAACAAGCUGGAAAGCUUGGCGAUACAGGGUGAUAGCCCCGUAACCGACGCUUCAUCGAGCGUGAAAUCGAGUAGGGCGGGACACGUGAUAUCCUGUCUGAAUAUGGGGGGACCAUCCUCCAAGGCUAAAUACUCCUGACUGACCGAUAGUGAACCAGUACCGUGAGGGAAAGGCGAAAAGAACCCCUGUGAGGGGAGUGAAAUAGAACCUGAAACCGUGUACGUACAAGCAGUAGGAGCACCUUCGUGGUGUGACUGCGUACCUUUUGUAUAAUGGGUCAGCGACUUAUAUUCAGUGGCAAGGUUAACCGUAUAGGGGAGCCGUAGCGAAAGCGAGUCUUAACUGGGCGCUCAGUCUCUGGAUAUAGACCCGAAACCGGGUGAUCUAGCCAUGGGCAGGUUGAAGGUUGAGUAACAUCAACUGGAGGACCGAACCGACUAAUGUUGAAAAAUUAGCGGAUGACUUGUGGCUAGGGGUGAAAGGCCAAUCAAACUCGGAGAUAGCUGGUUCUCCCCGAAAGCUAUUUAGGUAGCGCCUCGGACGAAUACUACUGGGGGUAGAGCACUGUUAAGGCUAGGGGGUCAUCCCGACUUACCAACCCUUUGCAAACUCCGAAUACCAGUAAGUACUAUCCGGGAGACACACGGCGGGUGCUAACGUCCGUCGUGGAGAGGGAAACAACCCAGACCGCCAGCUAAGGUCCCAAAGUAUUGCUAAGUGGGAAACGAUGUGGGAAGGCUCAGACAGCUAGGAUGUUGGCUUAGAAGCAGCCAUCAUUUAAAGAAAGCGUAAUAGCUCACUAGUCGAGUCGGCCUGCGCGGAAGAUGUAACGGGGCUAAGCAAUACACCGAAGCUGCGGCAAUGUCUUUUAGAUAUUGGGUAGGGGAGCGUUCUGUAAGCCGUUGAAGGUGAAUCGUAAGGUUUGCUGGAGGUAUCAGAAGUGCGAAUGCUGACAUGAGUAACGACAAAGGGGGUGAAAAACCUCCUCGCCGGAAGACCAAGGGUUCCUGUCCAACGUUAAUCGGGGCAGGGUGAGUCGACCCCUAAGGUGAGGCCGAAAGGCGUAAUCGAUGGGAAACGGGUUAAUAUUCCCGUACUUCUGACUAUUGCGAUGGGGGGACGGAGAAGGCUAGGUGGGCCAGGCGACGGUUGUCCUGGUUCAAGUGCGUAGGCUUGAGAGUUAGGUAAAUCCGGCUCUCUCUAAGGCUGAGACACGACGUCGAGCUGCUACGGCAGUGAAGUCAUUGAUGCCAUGCUUCCAGGAAAAGCCUCUAAGCUUCAGAUAGUCAGGAAUCGUACCCCAAACCGACACAGGUGGUCGGGUAGAGAAUACCAAGGCGCUUGAGAGAACUCGGGUGAAGGAACUAGGCAAAAUGGUACCGUAACUUCGGGAGAAGGUACGCUCUUGAUGGUGAAGUCCCUCGCGGAUGGAGCUGACGAGAGUCGCAGAUACCAGGUGGCUGCAACUGUUUAUUAAAAACACAGCACUGUGCAAAAUCGCAAGAUGACGUAUACGGUGUGACGCCUGCCCGGUGCCGGAAGGUUAAUUGAUGGGGUUAGCGCAAGCGAAGCUCUUGAUCGAAGCCCCGGUAAACGGCGGCCGUAACUAUAACGGUCCUAAGGUAGCGAAAUUCCUUGUCGGGUAAGUUCCGACCUGCACGAAUGGCGUAAUGAUGGCCACGCUGUCUCCACCCGAGACUCAGUGAAAUUGAAAUCGCUGUGAAGAUGCAGUGUACCCGCGGCUAGACGGAAAGACCCCGUGAACCUUUACUACAGCUUGGCACUGAACAUUGAACCUACAUGUGUAGGAUAGGUGGGAGGCUAUGAAGACGUGACGCCAGUUGCGUUGGAGCCGUCCUUGAAAUACCACCCUUGUAUGU
rnacentral:rRNA from 1 species